GUCCCUGUAGCGCAGUGGAUAGCGCGUUGAAAUUCUAAUCCAAAGGUCAUGGGCUCGAAUUCUACUUGGGAUG